rnacentral:misc_RNA from 1 species
UCCGGCUUAUCACCGGCAGUCCCACUAGAGUGCCCAACUAAAUGAUGGCAACUGAAGGCGAGGGUUGCGCUCGUUGCGGGACUUAACCCAGCAUCUCACGACACGAGCUGAUGACAGCCAUGCAGCACCUGUCACUCUGCCCCUUGCGGGGAAAGCCCAAUUUCUCGGACCGUCAGAGGAUGUCAAGGCCUGGUAAGGUUCUGCGCGUUGCGUCGAAUUAAACCACAUGCUCCACCGCUUGUGCGGGCCCCCGUCAAUUCCUUUGAGUUUUAAUCUUGCGACCGUACUCCCCAGGCGGGGUGCUUAAUGCGUUUGCUGCGCCACCGAAGAGCAAGCUCCCCGACGGCUAGCACCCAUAGUUUACGGCGUGGACUAC